CGGAGACGCUCCGGGAGCAGCCCCACCCGCCCCUGGGGAGGCCAGAAAUCCAGAGCGUCAGCACUUUCUGGCACUUUCUGUGGGGUGGCCAGGACCGUACGCCUGCUCCGUCACCGUCAGCGACGCCGGCCCAGCUCCCGAGCUACACGCAUGUGGACGGCGGUGCACCCAGAGCUUACCGAGUUCACCCUCGCCUUCAUCGUGGCUGACCUCUGACCCCUAACCUUUCUCUGACCACCUGGCUCCCAGAGACAACCAGCUGGACUUUGGCCAACAUCAGCAAUCGGAGAAAACCGACCUGGUGUGACAUAGGGGUUGUGAUUUUCAGCAUAAAUCAGGAUAAUUCUGGAACCUUCCACUACAGAUCUCCCAGAAUCCUCGGGGCAGGCUCAGUGUCCUGGUUUUGGCUGGGAACGGGGAACCCCCAGCAUGCGGGUCACCAUCACCCAGCGCGACAGGGACACACGGAGACGGCUGAGAAACGGCCAGAGGGUGGCGCUCCAACCUGAAAGGUCUCUGUCAUCAGGCCUCUGCCAGAGUGUCAUGCCCACUCAGUCCCCUGUGAUCACGCCGGCUGGAGGAACCCUGAGGGUCGCCCGUAAUUGACCUCACACCGUAUCCAUGAAGUAUCCAUGAAGUCCAAGCCCGGCCACCCCCUCAAGGCCACCUCCCAACACGUGACCAAUCAACCAUACCCCACUCGCGUGUGACCGCCACACGUUUCCUGAAGCGUGCCAAGCGGCCAUCGCUGACGGCGGGCGUGGGGACAGAGGUCAAAGAGCACAGUAGAGAGGAUCCUUCUAUCUACCACCCCCAGUCAGGAAGUACAACCUGAUCCCCCACCCCGCUGUGUCCCUAAAGCUGGUACAGAUCCAGCACCGCAGUCCAGCUCCCCCCGCCUGUCCUCACCGUCCCAACAGCUGAUUUUCAGCAGACGGACAUGUUCAGACAUCCCCUAUUAGGCAUUUGCGUAGCCAAGGUGCGACUGAACACGCAGGAAUAACGAAGAGACGGGGAAGACGGGGAUUCCCCGGACAGAGCGGCGAGACCUGGACCGAAUCGUCUCGGGACAAUGGGCGGCAGGCGGCACAUGCUCUCACGUCAAGGUUAAUUGAGAGCUACUGGGAGUGAGGCCAGGCACGCCGUCGCCCAGCAGACACGCACAGCGCUUAUAAGGAGACGCGGCCCUUUCUCUGGUGGCGUGUAGAUGGCAGCCAGCUCCGAGCGGCGGGUGAAGGCCGCAGUGACGUCACAACACAGGGCCACCAGGCCGCACGAGACCUGCAAAUCCACGAGAUGCUUUUGCUGGAAACCAUGGACUUCCAAACCACUCCAGUCUAACCACAAUCCUAAAGAUAUAACCCUGAUAUCAGGCAAGACUUGGGGGGGUUGCGGGUCAUGUGUUCGCCCCCUAUAGGCUAGUCACGUGGCUGCAAGGACGUUCAUCCCGUGAGACACAGGAAUCCCAUGCCAUACAGUGUCACUGGUGCAGGUGAGGACACGUCCUGCCGCACAGAUGACACGUUUCGCCAAACGCCGCUCACCUGCCUGCCUUUUCACUUGAACUUUAAUGUUUUAUUCACUGGAAGCCGCCUUUAUUCACUUACACGGGACAGAACAAAGACUAACAUUACUCCGCGUUGCGUAAAACCCUUUCCAACAGCCGCAGUUGGCUCUUAACAUUAAUUUCUUUGUUUUUAAAAUUAUUGCAAUAGUACGGUAGAUUGCCAAACUGCCCGGCAAAGCGUUGUGUAAUCCCUUUGACACAUGGAAAAAGACGCCGUUCUCACAACUAAUGCUUCUGGGGAACAGCGGAUCAGCAGAAUCGGACCUUACUGUAGACCUGACACGGGGCCAAGGUGCACGCUUUUAGCUACUGACGAGUUUCCCCAAACCCCAGAUCCCAGCAGGGGCCGGCUCGGAAUUCCAGAUGACCGGCUGAUAACCAGCUCUUCCUAAAACACCCCCCCCCCCUCCGGAAGCUGCUGUCCAAUCUGCCACGGCCAUUAUCCAGGAUGCGUGAGACACAAUGGAGACAGAGUAUAGACCUGGGAAAGAGUGAAAGGUCUGUGUAAAUACUGUGAGAGUAGAUCUGCACGUGAAUAAAACUCUACGUUAUGUCCUGGACAAGAUAAAAUCCUAAAGAUUUCAGAGAUCAGUGUUAAGAUUGCAUUAACGCUGUGCGUUUGAUGCUGUUUCGAGGAAUCUCCUUGUAAUGUGUCAAGUAGCCAAUUAAGCAGCAUUUAAACAACGUCCAAUACAUUUUAUGAUUUUCUGUCUAAGGUGCUGCAGGGUUUAUGCAUGGUCUGAUACCAGCUGCACGGACGGAACAGCAUCAGCAAGGCUGUGCAGAGGCGCCAUUAGCGAAGCCCAAAGUCAGGGGCCAUCGGACAGGCAUCAGAAAACAUCCAGAGACACACUGUGUUACUGUGGAAGCGGUUAUCAAGUGCCACGUCACAACAGCUUUGUUUUAAAUAUCCCAAAAAAAUCAUGCUCAGAAUAGACUAGCAUUUGGCCUGCUGUUUUCAAUUGAUUUCAACUAGCAAGAUGCAGCAGUACAAUACCUAACUGCUUUGCUCAACAGGAAAAGAUGUACGAGAUGUACAGAUAAUCCACUAUUUUUAAAAUGAUGAAAUCAUGUAUGUCCUUUCACGUCUUGUUUGCAAACACUUCAUUUUGGCCACUUCUGUUUUUCGGCAAAGGCUACUUUAUACACCCGCAAAACAGCACCAACUAGCGUUAGUAAAUGUACGCGGGUUAAUUUCGGUCUUCACUUAAGAGUGGGUUUGUACGAAUACGCGCAAAGACGCACCGGGUCCCGCAGCUCUGCGCCUCAUUGAAAACCACCCAAAGAGGCACGUCAACGAAACUCUCUAAUGGGCCCGAUACCGGAUAAAAUGUCCGCCUAAUUUCCAUCUCAAUGGAUCAUGGAAAUAAACCCCAGUGCGUAAUGAGCCGACGUUUAGAGAUUAUUUAAAACUCUGAAAGGACUCCGGGUACCACUGCAGAGGAGACAAACUGGUUCAUAAUAUAAACGAUGGAGCUGGGGGGAAAUGGGCUAUAUGCAGGUCUACAUAACUGGCUUCCUUGAUGUUUAGAUACGUUUCACAGAAAUGUUUGAUUUGGUGUUAAGUUUUUGUGAGAAAAUGCGCUAAAGCCUACAUAAAUCACGGCGUUUGGCACAAGUACAGCUGGGAGGCAAUUGAGUUGGAGCAAAUCCAGGUUACAAUGUAAAAGUAUUACAAUGAUAAACGUUGCCGUGACUAGA